GCGCCUGUAGCUCAGCGGAUAGAGCGUUGGCCUCCGAAGCCAAAGGUCGUGGGUUCAAUUCCCGCCAGGCGCG
rnacentral:tRNA from 1 species